CAUGCAGUCGAGCGNNCCUUCGGGUUAGCGGCGGANGGGUUAGUAACGCGNGNNNNNNUACCCAAAGGUACGGANUAGCCUCUGGAAACGGAGAGUAAUACCGUAUGUGCCCUUCGGGGGAAAGAUUUAUCGCCUUUGGAUUAGCCCGCGUUGGAUUAGGUAGUUGGUGGGGUAAUGGCCUACCAAGCCUACGAUCCAUAGCUGGUUUGAGAGGAUGAUCAGCAACACUGGGACUGAGACACGGCCCAGACUCCUACGGGAGGCAGCAGUGGGGAAUCUUAGACAAUGGGGGAAACCCUGAUCUAGCCAUGCCGCGUGAGUGACGAAGGCCUUAGGGUCGUAAAGCUCUUUCGCCAGGGAAGAUAAUGACGGUACCUGGUAAAGAAACCCCGGCUAACUCCGUGCCAGCAGCCGCGGUAAUACGGAGGGGGUUAGCGUUGUUCGGAAUUACUGGGCGUAAAGCGCACGUAGGCGGAUCGGAAAGUUGGGGGUGAAAUCCCAGGGCUCAACCCUGGAACUGCCUCCAAAACUAUCGGUCUAGAGUUCGAGAGAGGUGAGUGGAAUUCCGAGUGUAGAGGUGAAAUUCGUAGAUAUUCGGAGGAACACCAGUGGCGAAGGCGGCUCACUNGNUCGAUACUGACGCUGAGNUGCGAAAGUGUGNGAGCAAACAGGAUUAGAUACCCUG
rnacentral:rRNA from 1 species